GUGCUUGCUUCGGCAGCACCUACCCUAAAAUGGAAGGAUACAAAGAAGAUUAGCAUGCCCUGGGCAAAGAUGACAAAAAUUCAUGAAGUAUUCCGUAUUUUU